rnacentral:rRNA from 1 species
AGAGUUUGAUCCUGGCUCAGGAUGAACGCUAGCUACAGGCUUAACACAUGCAAGUCGAGGGGCAGCGGGAUUGAAGCUUGCUUCAAUUGCCGGCGACCGGCGCACGGGUGAGUAACGCGUAUCCAACCUUCCGUACACUCAGGGAUAGCCUUUCGAAAGAAAGAUUAAUACCUGAUGGUAUGAUGAGAUUGCAUGAUAGCAUCAUUAAAGAUUUAUCGGUGUACGAUGGGGAUGCGUUCCAUUAGGUAGUAGGCGGGGUAACGGCCCACCUAGCCGACGAUGGAUAGGGGUUCUGAGAGGAAGGUCCCCCACAUUGGAACUGAGACACGGUCCAAACUCCUACGGGAGGCAGCAGUGAGGAAUAUUGGUCAAUGGACGAGAGUCUGAACCAGCCAAGUAGCGUGAAGGAUGAAGGUCCUACGGAUUGUAAACUUCUUUUAUAAGGGAAUAAACCCUCCCACGUGUGGGAGCUUGUAUGUACCUUAUGAAUAAGCAUCGGCUAACUCCGUGCCAGCAGCCGCGGUAAUACGGAGGAUGCGAGCGUUAUCCGGAUUUAUUGGGUUUAAAGGGAGCGCAGACGGGUCGUUAAGUCAGCUGUGAAAGUUUGGGGCUCAACCUUAAAAUUGCAGUUGAUACUGGCGUCCUUGAGUGCGGUUGAGGUGUGCGGAAUUCGUGGUGUAGCGGUGAAAUGCUUAGAUAUCACGAAGAACUCCGAUUGCGAAGGCAGCACACUAAUCCGUAACUGACGUUCAUGCUCGAAAGUGUGGGUAUCAAACAGGAUUAGAUACCCUGGUAGUCCACACGGUAAACGAUGGAUACUCGCUGUUGGCGAUAUACUGUCAGCGGCUUAGCGAAAGCGUUAAGUAUCCCACCUGGGGAGUACGCCGGCAACGGUGAAACUCAAAGGAAUUGACGGGGGCCCGCACAAGCGGAGGAACAUGU